UGAGGAAUAUUGGACAAUGGGCGCAAGCCUGAUCCAGCCAUGCCGCGUGCAGGAAGAAGCAUCUAUGGUGUGUAAACUGCUUUUGUACGGGAAGAAACACUCCUUCGUGAAGGAGCUUUACGGUACCGUAAGAAUAAGGAUCGGCUAACUCCGUGCCAGCAGCCGCGGUAAUACGGAGGAUCCAAGCGUUAUCCGGAAUCAUUGGGUUUAAAGGGUCCGUAGGCGGUUUAGUAAGUCAGUGGUGAAAGUCCAGGGCUCAACGAUGGCACGGCCACUGAUACUGCUAGACUUGAGUUAUUGGGAAGAAACUGGAAUAUGUAGUGUAGCGGUGAAAUGCUUAGAUAUUACGUGGAACACCAAUUGCGAAGGCAGGUUACUGGUAAUGGAUUGACGCUGAUGCACGAAAGCGUGGGGAGCGAACA
rnacentral:rRNA from 1 species